rnacentral:misc_RNA from 1 species
GAUGAAGAACGUAGCGAAAUGCGAUAAGUAAUGUGAAUUGCAGAAUUCAGUGAAUCAUCGAAUCUUUGAACGCACAUUGCGCCCCCCGGCAUUCCGGGGAGCAUGCCUGUUCGAGCGUCUCUUGGAAUACCCCUCACGCCGGCGGAGGCGUGGUCAUGGCGGCGGUGGCGUGCCCCGAGAGGGAGGCCACCGCGCUAGAAUCCAUGGGCGGACGCCUGCCGCGUGGCCGAGCGUGAUAAGACGCACUGGCGCUCGCGCGCGGCGAGGCUGCCGGCCCUGGCCCGCUCGUCGGGCGGGGACAGCAACACUUGGGAACUCCUCGAAUCAGGUAGGGAUACCCGCUGAACUUAAGCAUAUCAAUAAGCGGAGGA